rnacentral:rRNA from 1 species
ACAUGCAAGUAGAACGCUGAAGAGAGGAGCUUGCUCUUCUUGGAUGAGUUGCGAACGGGUGAGUAACGCGUAGGUAACCUGCCUUGUAGCGGGGGAUAACUAUUGGAAACGAUAGCUAAUACCGCAUAACAAUGGAUGACACAUGUCAUUUAUUUGAAAGGGGCAAUUGCUCCACUACAAGAUGGACCUGCGUUGUAUUAGCUAGUAGGUGAGGUAAUGGCUCACCUAGGCGACGAUACAUAGCCGACCUGAGAGGGUGAUCGGCCACACUGGGACUGAGACACGGCCCAGACUCCUACGGGAGGCAGCAGUAGGGAAUCUUCGGCAAUGGGGGCAACCCUGACCGAGCAACGCCGCGUGAGUGAAGAAGGUUUUCGGAUCGUAAAGCUCUGUUGUAAGUCAAGAACGGGUGUGAGAGUGGAAAGUUCACACUGUGACGGUAGCUUACCAGAAAGGGACGGCUAACUACGUGCCAGCAGCCGCGGUAAUACGUAGGUCCCGAGCGUUGUCCGGAUUUAUUGGGCGUAAAGCGAGCGCAGGCGGUUUGAUAAGUCUGAAGUUAAAGGCUGUGGCUCAACCAUAGUUCGCUUUGGAAACUGUCAAACUUGAGUGCAGAAGGGGAGAGUGGAAUUCCAUGUGUAGCGGUGAAAUGCGUAGAUAUAUGGAGGAACACCGGUGGCGAAAGCGGCUCUCUGGUCUGUAACUGACGCUGAGGCUCGAAAGCGUGGGGAGCGAACAGGAUUAGAUACCCUGGUAGUCCACGCCGUAAACGAUGAGUGCUAGGUGUUGGAUCCUUUCCGGGAUUCAGUGCCGCAGCUAACGCAUUAAGCACUCCGCCUGGGGAGUACGACCGCAAGGUUGAAACUCAAAGGAAUUGACGGGGGCCCGCACAAGCGGUGGAGCAUGUGGUUUAAUUCGAAGCAACGCGAAGAACCUUACCAGGUCUUGACAUCCCGAUGCUAUUUCUAGAGAUAGAAAGUUACUUCGGUACAUCGGUGACAGGUGGUGCAUGGUUGUCGUCAGCUCGUGUCGUGAGAUGUUGGGUUAAGUCCCGCAACGAGCGCAACCCCUAUUGUUAGUUGCCAUCAUUCAGUUGGGCACUCUAGCGAGACUGCCGGUAAUAAACCGGAGGAAGGUGGGGAUGACGUCAAAUCAUCAUGCCCCUUAUGACCUGGGCUACACACGUGCUACAAUGGUUGGUACAACGAGUUGCGAGUCGGUGACGGCGAGCUAAUCUCUUAAAGCCAAUCUCAGUUCGGAUUGUAGGCUGCAACUCGCCUACAUGAAGUCGGAAUCGCUAGUAAUCGCGGAUCAGCACGCCGCGGUGAAUACGUUCCCGGGCCUUGUACACACCGCCCGUCACACCACGAGAGUUUGUAACACCCGAAGUCGGUGAGGUAACCUUUUGGAGCCAGCCGCCUAAGGUGGGAC